GCCUAGGUAGCUCAGUUCUUAUAGCAGCUGAUUGAAAAUCCGCGUGUCGGUGGUUCGAAUCCGCCCCUGGGCACCA
rnacentral:tRNA from 1 species